GUUCCAGUAGCUCAGUUGGAUAGAGCAGCAGCCUUCUAAGCUGUCGGUCGGGGGUUCGAAUCCCUCCUGGAACGCCA
rnacentral:tRNA from 1 species